GCCGCUGAAGCCCAGUUGGUAGAUGCGUCGCCAGUACAGAUGGCGAGGACGCUGGUUCAAUCCAGCCUGCGGUU